AUAUAUAUAUAUAUAUUUGAGAUGUUGAGUUUUGUAGCUAUAUAUAUGAGAUGUUGAUUUUUUUAGAUAUAACAUAGAUGUUGAGUUUAUUUGAAAUAUGAGAUGUUGAGUUUAUUUGAACACAUAUGACAUACGAGAUAUAUAUGAGAAUUUACAAUCAUCUAUUCAUUGUGUGAGAAGGAGAUGUUGAGAUUCUUAUAGAUUAAUACAUAUGAGAUGUUUAGUCUGUACCGAUAUUUGAGAUAAAUUCAUAUAUUGUUUGAACUUUGUAAGGAUGGUUUGGCUUCUCGACGAUGCCUAUGACACACAACACCGGGCCUACAUGAUGCGCGGGAAGGGGCUGAAGCUUGAGCCUCUGAAGAUUUGGUAUCACGGGGUCUCUGGUCCUGCCAUGCCGUACGACGAGCGGUACACACCGUACAUCCAGCAGGCAGGACUCCUCCCGUGGAUUCAGUUGGUCAGCCAGUCCACGCCGAACCUCAACGCUCCACUGGUGUCUGCUCUUGCUGAUCGGUGGAGGCCGGAGACGCACAAUUUCCAUUUUAGGACUAGAGAGAUGACCGUGACGCUCGAGGAUGUCUCCUUGAUCACUGGUCUUGCUAUCGAUGGGAGGCCUCUCUGUAUGAGCACCGAUUCUGAUGGGUGGCGCCAGCAGAUGAUUGCUCUUAUUGGUAUGGCUCCUACCGAGGCUGAGGCUGAUGUAGAGGAGGAAGAAAAGAAGAAGAAGAAGGAAAGGAAAGCAGCCGGAGCUGCUUUCACGUGGAUUCAAAGGAACUUUGCGCAUUGCCCUGCGAAUGCCAAUGAUGAUGUGAUCCAGACACAUGCUCAUGUCUAUAUGUGGUACGUUGUCUCGAGGACUUUGUUUCCCGAGUCCACGGGCAAGAACGCUCCAUGGAUGUGGCUGAAGGCGUUGACCGUCUUCGAUAGCAGAUGGAGCUGGGGUUCAGCUACUCUUGCAUAAUUGUACCUUGCUGUCAAGUUAACAUUGUUUUCUUUCAUAUGUAGCUGGAUGAUGUGUGUAGCAGGAUCACAUAUAGGGCAGGCAUUGGUGGUAAUAUGCUUCUACUUUCUAUAUGGAGCUGGGAGCGUCUGCCUGUUGGACACCCGAAGAGCGCGAAGUUUAAUCCUUGGGAUGAAGACGACGAAUUACGGCGCCCCACUUGGGCUUACAAGUGGGAUGUGGUGGCCGAGAUGACGAACGAUGUCAAUCUCAUGUACCAAAAGUGCAUUGCCGAGUUGGACACGAUUUCUCCUGAGUGCAAUGACAGCCAUAUGGCGCCAAUGACACAGUAGGGUACACUCUAGAGUUUGCCAUCAACCCGAUGCGCUUGCGGGAUAGGGAUCUUUGGCUCAUAUAGUGGCCACUAAUAUGCAACUGGGCGGUUGAGCUCCAUUUGCCACAUCGCGUGUAUCAUCAAUUUGGUCCAUUCCAGCCUCACCUGCCGGAUUGGGCGGACACGUACAAAGCACUUCAUAAGUUGGACAGGAGAAAGUAGCGGAAGAUAAAGGACUGGGACAAGCAUCAUGCUAAUUCGUAUGUUACCCACUUUCAUCUUUGUGUGGAGCAAGCUCAUAACAGUGCACACGCCCAGCUUCUUGAGCAUAGCUCACUUGCUUUCGAUAACUACUUACGAUGGCUUCUUGAAAAUACUCGAGUUGAGAUAUGCCCGCCGGCACACAAUGAUGACAUUCUUGAAGACCCCCUAAAAUUUGAGGAUCUAUCAAAGGGGAAGUACAAAAAAGAUGUCAGGGAAGGGCUAGGAGUCCCUGCUGUUCUGGUGAUUAACUAUGUGCGCAACCAGAUCAAGCUGAUGGAAGCCAGUCUAUUCUGGAGAAGACACUGGUUGGACAAGGCAAUGAUGAAGGUCCACUAUGGAAAUUUCUCAAGCGCCAGGCCUAGAAGUUAAGGCGGUUAUCGAACCUUCUCGGUUGCCGUGACCCAGAAUAUGAUGAACCAUAUGCCUCUAGGUCUGGUACACCAUCAGACCACUUAUCUCACCAUGAGGGGAACGAUGUUGAUGAGAUCGAUGACGACAUUACUUUGGCGGACGCUCAAGUUCGGUCUGCAUACAUGUUCAAGUGUAGGCAGCCCAUACGCCGGUAUACACCCACCGACUUUGACAACAGAGGCAACCCAAAGGUGGUCGCAUGGAGCUUGCGGAUGCCGAGCUUGGAUGAUGAGGCGGAGGAGGAAGUGGAGGCAGAGGAUGCUCGUCCUGGCAGGAGGAAUUAGACCGCUAGCAGGCGUGGCACAAGGAACACACGUGGAAGGCAUUAGUACUUGUCGUUUUUAUUAUGAAACUGAACUUGUCGCUGUUUCAUUAGGUUGAUGAACUUGUGAGGUUAUGUGAUGUGUUGGUGAACUCUUAGUAGUGUGGUACUUGUGUUUGCGAACUUGUAGUAAUGUUUGAAUUGUCCUAAAUGAUGUGAUG